AGCUCCAAUAGCGUAUAUUAAAGUUGUUGCAGUUAAAAAGCUCGUAGUUGAACCUUGGCUUUGGCUGGCCGGUCCGCCUCACCGCGUGUACUGGUCUGGCUGGAGCUUUCCUCUUGGGGAACUACAUGCCCUUUACUGGGUGUGCUAGGAAACCAGGACUUUUACUUUGAAAAAAUUAGAGUGUUCAAAGCAGGCAAUUGCUCGGAUACAUUAGCAUGGAAUAAUAGAAUAGGACGUGUGGUUCUAUUUUGUUGGUUUCUAGGACCGCCGUAAUGAUUAAUAGGGACAGUCGGGGGCAUCAGUAUUCAAUUGUCAGAGGUGAAAUUCUUGGAUUUAUUGAAGACUAACUACUGCGAAAGCAUUUGCCAAAGAUGUUUUCAUUAAUCAGGAACGAAAGUUAGGGGAUCGAAGACGAUCAGAUACCGUCGUAGUCUUAACCGUAAACUAUGCCGACUAGGGAUCGGGUGGUGUUUUUAUUAUGACUCACUCGGCACCUUACGAGAAAUCAAAGUUUUUGGGUUCUGGGGGGAGUAUGGUCGCAAGGCUGAA
rnacentral:ncRNA from 1 species